ACUUUUUCAAAAUUAUAUUUAUUAAACAAUCUGCAAGCUUCCGUUGUUUGCGGAUGCUGAAAUAGCGACAGAAAAGGAAACAUUUCAUGACUCCGGUGAUCCACAAACUCAUAUCGGAUACAUUGGUUACAAUGAAGUUAAAUGUAGAGGAAGCAAACAUAGAUGGCAAAGAAAUUCUUUGUGUCUUAUGAAGAAUUAGUA